rnacentral:rRNA from 1 species
AUGAAGAUCAUGGGUUGGAAUUGCCGCGGGCUGAAUUCAGGUCGGGCAGUUCGUGCGCUCCUUGAUGUUCAGAAGAAAUCAAAACCGGAUGUGUGUUUCCUGUCUGAGACACAUCUGUCAAAAGCUAAGGCAGAGAAACUUUUGAAGAGAACAAGAUUUGUCCAUCUUUUGGUGAAUGAGAGUGAUGGCGGGAGUGGUGGGUUGCUAAUGAUGUGG